rnacentral:rRNA from 1 species
AUAUUUUGUAAGGUUGUUCUAGUUUUGUAACUAAAAUGGUUUGGCAGUGAGUGAUUCUUGUUAGGGGAAGAUGCAUAGUAAAGGAUGGUCCACCUAUUAAUUUACUCUUUUUAUGUUGGUGUAUGUCUGGUUUGAUAUUAUUGUUUAGUAAUGUAAGUUUGUGUAGUUUUAGUUAAGCUAAGUCUAUGUGCUGCUUAUAAGAGUUUUUGUGUGUUACAUUGAUAGGAAUAUUGUUGUAAUAU